CACACUCACAGAGGGCUGGACCCUGGCCACACCCAUAUGAGGAUAGUCCCCACUAGCCUACUGUUCACUGUGACCAGGACACUAGACUCCUGGCCAAUCCAGCAGACUGUACUGAGAGAACUGGGGGUGAGGGCUUAGGAGAGCCGCUCUGCCUGUUCCUCGCUUCCACCCCUGUCCCAUGGCCUCCACCUCUGAUGCAGGCUGAGGUUUCCACACUCGGCUUCAGGCUGGUCUUUGCUCCCUCUCCUUUCAUCUCUGAAGCACCUGAAGGCAGACAUCACCUCUAACCUCUGAUCAAGGUCACUGACAUCUGUCCCAGGAUGCUGGCAUCAGGAGACACAGGCUAAUCUCCCCACAGGUGCUGCUGCACAGUGAGGGCUGCCAGUCCCUAAAAUGGGUGAUUUCCACUCAGCAGAUGCCUCUGUUGCAUCUCAGAACGGUUCCGGUGCACCAGACAGAACACGGUAGCCACACAGGGCGAGUCCCCUGAGAUCUGAAUGUUGUUCCCAGCUUCAAGGGCUAAAGCCAGGGAAUGAGCCUCCGCCUGACUGUCCUGGUGCUGGGAAGAUGGGUCUCAGAGACCCUGCAGAGCGUCCACUGGAUCCGACUGUCACGUACUGCUGACUUCAGGUCACCACACCUGGCACAUCCGGAUCACCUCCUUCAAGGCUUUCAGCCCCUCCAUGCUCUUGUCCUUCACAGCCAUGGCCAGGAGGACGGCUCUGUUUCCUGCUUCUUGAGACACAAAUGCUACCAGGUUCUUCGCAAAGACAUGGAUGAGUGGCUGGGGAGGGGAGAAGACAGGAAACCUUAUUUUUAUUGUUAUUCUUCUUAAAGACAGGUUGUCAAUUUCUGUAGCCCAGGCUAGCCUGGAAGUCAAAUAGCCCAGGUUACUGAAUUCAGGGCGAUCUUCCUGCCUUAGUUUCCUGGGAUUCCAGGCAUGUGCUAACAUAGUGAGUUUUGUUUGUUUGUUUUUUUAAAGAGUAUGUGCAUGUUCGUAGGUAUGAGGAGGCCUGGAGACAACCCUAGGUAUGAGCUAUAGAGCACCAUCAUCUACUAUGAGACAGGGUCUCUCAUUGACCUGGAAUUCUCCAGACUGCAUGGCCAGCAAACCCCAGGAUCCUUCUGUCUCUGCCAUUCCAGCACUGGGAAUAUCUUUUAUUUAUUUAUUUUUUUGUAAAUAUUGAGACAGGGUUCAACCUCUUUAUGGUUGGAACUUGCUAUAUAGAUGAGGCUGGCCUCGGCCUCCCCAAUGCUAGAGUUAAAAGCGCUCAUCACCAAGCCGAGUCUCACACUCAAACUCAGGUCAUGCUUGCAAGGACUUUAGGAACUGAGCUAUUUCCUCGGUCUCCAUUUUAUUUAUUUAUUUGUUUGUUUUGUUUAUGAAGCAAGAGCUCACUAUGUAGCCCUGACUGAUCUAGAACUUGCUAUGUAGACCAGGGCCUACUAUCAUCUCCUAAGUGUCAAGAUUAAAGAUGUGUACUGAUAUA